CCGCCUCGAGGCCCGGAGCCAUCUGCCCAGGAGCAGAUGGAGGGGAUGCUGUGCCGCAAGCAGGAGAUGGAGGCCUUCGGGAAGAAGGCUGCCAACAGGUCCUGGCAGAACGUGUACUGUGUCCUGCGGCGUGGGAGCCUCGGCUUUUACAAGGAUGCCAAGGCAGCCAGCGCGGGAGUGCCAUACCAUGGAGAAGUGCCUGUCAGCCUGGCCAGGGCCCAGGGCAGCGUCGCCUUUGAUUACCGAAAGCGCAAACAUGUCUUCAAGCUGGGGUAGGAACAGGGAACAGUGCUCUCGGGAUGGGAGGAGAGUUGGGAGUGACACAGGUGAGCCAUGAGUCAGGUCCAGAGGGAGGGGAGUUCCUGCAAAGAGCCUGAGUGGAGUAACCAGGCCAGCCACUUGGGGAUAGUGUAGAUGAGGGAGGCGGGGAUUCUGGUUGUCUCCACACCAAGGGGAGCAGGAGAACCAAGACC
rnacentral:sRNA from 1 species